GGAUUUCCAUGGCUACAUCCUAAACGGCUCUGUACCGUACACAGUGCACUACACAGGGCGCAGACGCCAUAACAUUAACCACAACAUAGUGCGCCUUCGUAGUCAACAGGCAGACUAUUGAGACGAGACCCAUCCGUGUUGCCAUUCGGUUACAGUGUGGUUGGUAGUCAAGCUAACGGGUACAUUUUUGUAACCAACGAACCUAUCGAUGACAACUUGCAUGAUCAAGGUUAAAGAAGGUUGGAGCCAGAAGAACUUUGAGCCAAAUCAAAGUGAAAUACAAGAACAUUCUGAAAAAAGGAAAUAUUUGAUUACACAUUUACUGAACUAUUUAUUAAACACAGUUUAGUUUAUUCUUUCUGUCAUGUAGCUAAUAGAAAGAAGACUGAAGCCCGUCUAACUGGCAGGGGCCCAGCACCACCUCUCUUCACCCCAUCUAAGGAGCUGGCCCUGUCCCUUAAGGGGCGACCAGUGGUUGCUGGCAUUCUAGGGGGCACGUCAUCACACACACCAUGUACCAGAAGUAACAUGGUGAAAUGAUGACGAUGAAGAGACCGCAUCUGCUGUGACGGACGUAGACAAUGCUGGUAGAUCCACUGAGUACAUACCUGGGGAUUUACCAACAGAUGAGGGUCCUUCAACCUCAGUGGACAAUCUAAGCAAUUUGCCAGUAAAGAAGCUGUAUAGGGUCCAUCUUCAAAAACAAAUAAGAAAAAGUGACAUGGAGAUGGACCUUAUACAGCUUCAAAUGGAAGAAAAAAGGCUAUCCAAUAAAAAAGCUACUCUAGAAAUUGAAUUACUGGAGCUUCGCCUUAAGGAAAUAAAGAAAUUAACUGCACAGCCGAUCAGUGCUAACAAGUUAAUAAAAGAAAUUGCCAAAUCCUGUCUCUUAAAGUCUUCCAUCUGCGUGCAUAAAUCUGUAGAGGUUCCUCUGGGCCAUCUUCGAUACAAGGAGGGUGGCUCUUUCCUCUUAUAGUGGCAAUGUUAUAAAGCACAACACCAGCCACUAUGUCAAAUGCCCUCUCUGGACUGACCCGGAGCCUACGCAGACACUGAAACCUAGACUUUAGGAUCCCUAUCGUCAUCUCCACCUUGGUCCGUGUUCGGCUGUGAGCCAGGUUAAAGCGUGUCUGUGGUUCAGGGUAGGGUGUCAUUUAAAUGGGGCAGACAAGGGUAUCCUCUGUCCCCUAGCAAGUAACAUUGUACUGUCCUGUAGUGAUUUAAGUGUACAAUACAAAUUUGUAAAACGGCAAAAAAAAUGUAUAAAGCAAAACGUACCCUGCUGAAAUGUCUGGCAUAAUGAUGACUCCUGGAAAAUUCUGGCAUCAUGCACAUAUCCUGGCCAUUUGGCCUCAACGUUAGUAAUAAUGUGGGUUGCCUCACAUAUUACCUAUAGUUAGUGGGGAAAAAAGUAAUAAGUUUAAUGAUUAACAAAACAAAAAAUUAAGGACACAAUCAAGUUAUCUGUAUGUUGAUGCUAUGAAUCGAUUUCCUAUUAAUAUAGUCUCCCUCAUUUAUAGGAAUGUGGGUGCCAUCAAUUCAUCCAAUUACAUUUGGAAACUCUGAAAUGAAGUCAUACUGUACAGCAUAUGGAAGUAUCAAGUGUG